rnacentral:rRNA from 1 species
GACGAACGCUGGCGGCGUGCUUAACACAUGCAAGUCGAACGGAAAGGCCCUGCUUUUGUGGGGUGCUCGAGUGGCGAACGGGUGAGUAACACGUGAGUAACCUGCCCUUGACUUUGGGAUAACUUCAGGAAACUGGGGCUAAUACCGGAUAGGAGCUCCUGCUGCAUGGUGGGGGUUGGAAAGUUUCGGCGGUUGGGGAUGGACUCGCGGCUUGUCAGCUUGUUGGUGGGGUAGUGGCUUACCAAGGCUUUGACGGGUAGCCGGCCUGAGAGGGUGACCGGCCACAUUGGGACUGAGAUACGGCCCAGACUCCUACGGGAGGCAGCAGUGGGGAAUAUUGCACAAUGGGCGGAAGCCUGAUGCAGCAACGCCGCGUGCGGGAUGACGGCCUUCGGGUUGUAAACCGCUUUCGCCUGUAACGAAGCGUGAGUGACGGUAAUGGGUAAAGAAGCACCGGCUAACUACGUG